rnacentral:rRNA from 1 species
UAUGACGCUUAACUGGUCUGAGAGGAUGAUCAGUCACACUGGAACUGAGACACGGUCCAGACUCCUACGGGAGGCAGCAGUAGGGAAUAUUGCGCAAUGGGGGAAACCCUGACGCAGCAACGCCGCGUGGAGGAUGACACUUUUCGGAGCGUAAACUCCUUUUCUUAGGGAAGAAUUCUGACGGUACCUAAGGAAUAAGCACCGGCUAACUCCGUGCCAGCAGCCGCGGUAAUACGGAGGGUGCAAGCGUUACUCGGAAUCACUGGGCGUAAAGGGCGCGUAGGCGGAUUAUCAAGUCUCUUGUGAAAUCUAAUGGCUUAACCAUUAAACUGCUUGGGAAACUGAUAGUCUAGAGUGAGGGAGAGGCAGAUGGAAUUGGUGGUGUAGGGGUAAAAUCCGUAGAUAUCACCAAGAAUACCCAUUGCGAAGGCGAUCUGCUGGAACUCAACUGACGCUAAGGCGCGAAAGCGUGGGGAGCAAACAGGAUUAGAUACCCUGGUAGUCCACGCCCUAAACGAUGUACACUAGUUGUUGGGGUGCUAGUCAUCUCAGUAAUGCAGCUAACGCAUUAAGUGUACCGCCUGGGGAGUACGGUCGCAAGAUUAAAACUCAAAGGAAUAGACGGGGACCCGCACAAGCGGUGGAGCAUGUGGUUUAAUUCGAAGAUACGCGAAGAACCUUACCUGGGCUUGAUAUCCUAAGAACCUUAUAGAGAUAUGAGGGUGCUAGCUUGCUAGAACUUAGAGACAGGUGCUGCACGGCUGUCGUCAGCUCGUGUCGUGAGAUGUUGGGUUAAGUCCCGCAACGAGCGCAACCCACGUAUUUAGUUGCUAACGGUUCGGCCGAGCACUCUAAAUAGACUGCCUUCGUAAGGAGGAGGAAGGUGUGGACGACGUCAAGUCAUCAUGGCCCUUAUGCCCAGGGCGACACACGUGCUACAAUGGCAUAUACAAUGAGACGCAAUACCGCGAGGUGGAGCAAAUCUAUAAAAUAUGUCCCAGUUCGGAUUGUUCUCUGCAACUCGAGAGCAUGAAGCCGGAAUCGCUAGUAAUCGUAGAUCAGCCAUGCUACGGUGAAUACGUUCCCGGGUCUUGUACUCACCGCCCGUCACACCAUGGGAGUUGAUUUCACUCGAAGCCGGAAUACUAAACUAGUUACCGUCCACAGUGGAAUCAGCGACUGGGGUGAAGUCGUAACAAGGUAACCGUAGGAGAACCUGCGGUUGGAUCACCUCCUUUCUA